rnacentral:lncRNA from 1 species
CUUGAUAGCGUGAAAGUAGCAAAUAAAUAAUGAUGUGUUCAAAUUGGAUUUGAACACACAUCACAACCCAUAUCAUCAUUAAGGCCCUAAAAAUUAAAUCAUUAUGUGCUUGGUUAAUACGUUAAGUAGUUUAUGAAGUGAUUAAGAUCAAAGAGGAUCCAUGACUUGUAAUGGAUCACUUGUUCAUUUACUUAAAAAUAAAUAAAUAAAUAAAUAAAAGCAAAGGACCCACUAGUGUAGUGGUUUGGAGUAUUUACUCCCUUAGGUAAGGUCCUGGGUUCGAGUCCUAGCAUCCGUGUUGUGUGUGUGAGUUUAAUAUGCUAUCGCCCCUUUCAAUAGGAAAGGACCUCAAAAAAAAAAAAAAUAAAUAAAUAAAUAAACUCGCAAUACCGACUCCAUUCGUAAUUCCAUCAAUUACGCGACCAAAACUUCGUCGCUCAAAGUCUUGCGCGACGAAAAACAAUUCGUAGCGCAAAGUCACUUCGCGCGACAAACUUUUGCGCGACGACAAUACAUCGUCGCUCAAAGUCUUGCGCGACCAAAUUUUGCUCGACGAAAAAAAUUCGUCGCGCAAAGUCACUUCGCGAGACAAACUUUUGCGCGACAACAAUACAUCGUCGCUCAAAGUGACUUUGCGCGACGAAACAAUGAACUUCGUCGCGCAAAGUCCUUAUAAAAAUAAAAUAUAUAUAUUUUAAAAUCUUUGCAUGACGUAAUCCAAAUAUUUCGUCGCCUAAACUAAUUUAUUUUUGUUUUUUAUUUUGUAUGCAUAACACUUAAGAAAU